rnacentral:rRNA from 1 species
CCUACGGGUGGCAGCAGUGAGGAAUAUUGGUCAAUGGCCGGAAGCCUGAACCAGCCAAGUCGCGUGAGGGACGACUGCCCUACGGGUUGUAAACUUCUUUUAUAAAGGAAGAAUAAGAGGCACGUGUAGCUUUAUGUCUGUACCUUAUGAAUAAGCAUCGGCUAACUCCGUGCCAGCAGCCGCGGUAAUACGGAGGAUCCGAGCGUUAUCCGGAUUUAUUGGGUUUAAAGGGUGCGUAGGCGGUUUUUUAAGUAAGUGGGAAAAGGUUGGGGCUUAACCUUAAUUUGCCAUUGAUACUGUAAGACUUGAGUACAGAUGAGGUAGGCGGAAUGCGUGGUGUAGCGGUGAAAUGCUUAGAUAUAACUAAGAACUCCGAUAGCGAAGGCAGCUUACCAGACUGCGACUGACGCUGAUGCACGAAAGCGUGGGUAGCAAACAGGAUUAGAUACCCGAGUAGUC